CCCCAAGGUCCGGGACAGGAGCGUCCGCAGCAGCUCCACUGCGGGGACACCGAGCUGUCCCCAAAGGCUCCCCAAAGCGUCCCCGGCGUCCCAAAUUCCCAGACAAUGU